rnacentral:rRNA from 1 species
GAUGAACGCUGGCGGCGUGCCUAAUACAUGCAAGUCGAGCGAACAGGCGAGGAGCUUGCUCCUCUGACGUUAGCGGCGGACGGGUGAGUAACACGUGGAUAACCUACCUAUAAGACUGGGAUAACAUCGGGAAACCGGAGCUAAUACCGGAUAAUAUAUUGAACCGCAUGGUUCAAUAGUGAAAGACGGUUUUGCUGUCACUUAUAGAUGGAUCCGCGCCGCAUUAGCUAGUUGGUAAGGUAACGGCUUACCAAGGCAACGAUGCGUAGCCGACCUGAGAGGGUGAUCGGCCACACUGGAACUGAGACACGGUCCAGACUCCUACGGGAGGCAGCAGUAGGGAAUCUUCCGCAAUGGGCGAAAGCCUGACGGAGCAACGCCGCGUGAGUGAUGAAGGUCUUCGGAUCGUAAAACUCUGUUAUUAGGGAAGAACAAAUGUGUAAGUAACUAUGCACGUCUUGACGGUACCUAAUCAGAAAGCCACGGCUAACUACGUG